rnacentral:rRNA from 1 species
UACGUAGGGUGCGAGCGUUGUCCGGAAUUAUUGGGCGUAAAGAGCUCGUAGGCGGUGUGUCACGUCGGCCGUGAAAACCUGCAGCUUAACUGUGGGCGUGCGGUCGAUACGGGCAUCACUGGAGUUCGGCAGGGGAGACUGGAAUUCCUGGUGUAGCGGUGAAAAUGCGCAGAUAUCAGGAGGAACACCAGUGGCGAAGGCGGGCAUCUGGCCAACACUGACGCUGGAGGCGCGAAAGCUAGGGGAGCAAACAGG